GGGCAUAUCACGUUAAAACAUCUGUUCCCGUACAAUCACCGAAGUUAACCAACGUCGAGCCUGAUCAGUAACUAGAUGGCUGACAGCUUGGGAAUACCAUGUGCUGUAA